AAAGUGGCAGCAUCACGAACAAAAUAACUUCGUCAUGAAAGAGUUUAUUGCUUCUAAAAGCAUGGAGAGUGACUAUCGCCCCUUGAAGCAAAAUGUGUCAGAACAGCUGGAGGACAUUAACAGACUGCUGAUCCAGUCUCUUGGAAAAUAACUACACCGUCUUAAAAAUACAUCACUUUCCUUUACAAAGCGUAACCAAUAGUUGUAAAAGAUACUGUGUACUACCCCUUUAACUUAUGGAAUAAAUUGUCUGUUACAACAAGCUGGAAA